ensembl:ncRNA C49F8.10 ncRNA
GGUCAGGGUACAUGACGACCUCCCAAACAAUAUGUAGGCGGCUACGUGCUUCUAGUCUAGG